CUGAAGUUUCCUCAAGAUAUUUCAUUCGGCGGGAACAUAAUUAAUUAUAACCCAACAAGCUACUUAAGCGUGUCCUGUGCUGACAGAAUUGCUUUCUUGGGAGACACCUACACAUGACAAUUGCAGUGAAAGCUAUGCCAAGUCUACAAAGAUUGGGUUGAGUUGUGGAACCUAUUACUUCAGUAAUGAUCAAACAGCAAAUGUAACUAGUCAGGAUUGGUUGCAGGUAGUUCUUAUUGGUUAUAUGAAUUAUAUAAGAAUUAUAACGGCAUUAAAACUGCAUACCUACAGAUGCUGGUUUAGCGUAGGCCUAUGUUAAGAUGCAGAUGUUUUGUAGUUUUACGGGAGAUUUGAGAUUUCACUUUGAGAGCGCUUCCUUAGUGAUGUGUUACAAAAUGGAUGCUAAACAACAUGGCCUAACAUUUUAUAGGACCGUCCCAGUAUGGUUUCCUCGUCUCCCCAACUUAAUUUCCCUUCCUUGAUGUGCAGCCAAACGUUACUGAAGAAAACAAAUUUAAAAAAUAAGCGAUAUAUUAGGUAAUAAGAAAAUAACGAAUUGGGACAUUUUGGAAAUAUUUUGGAGUCAGAAGGGCUUGUUUGUCUUCUACAUUUUGAUAGUUGAAUGUUCCGGUGUUCUAGGUUAUUUUUUUUAAUUGGGACAAUUUCGAAAACUGAUUUGCACUUUUUUAGCAUUAAUGAGGGGUUCGAUUGAUAUUUAAACGCCAUAAUCCAGUAUAUUUAACAGAACUCGCACGCAUACCGUCUUAAAGCCUUUUGCCAUGAACAGUAUGCGGUGGGUUAUUAGCUAUUGGUAACAAACAAAUAGAACUCGUAUAACAUCUAAUCUUAUUUUAGCGUGUAUAUUAAGCAGGUCUUAGUACUUUUGCUUUAGACACAAUAUCCCUAGUUUGAUUAGUGGGGACAGAUCAGAGACAUCAUGAAUACAUUUGGUGAAGCUAAACAAACAAAGUGUAAGUGCAAAAUACACACAUUGUCUAUACCUACCUACACAUGCAUCCUGUCUAUCGCUGUGCAGCAGGAUCUCAGCACUCAUGAUCAUUAGCACUUGUUUGGUAUAAUUGGUUGAUCAUACACCUGACUAUAAUCCUACAAAAUCCCUGACUUUGUGCAAGUGUACAUAUAAGAAAUGAUGCUGGUUUGAAGGCAAAGUGUAUUAACACCAAAUAUUGAUUUGAUUUACAUUUUUCUUUUGUUUGCUCACUUUGCAUUUUGUAAAUUGAUACAAAUAAUAAUUGUUUAUUUUUUGUUUGAAAGGAUUCUUAGUUUAUAGCAUUUUUUCACACCUGCCCAAAACCUUUGCACAGUGCUGUAUAUAUCCUCCUGAGACCCUGCCUAUUCAUUUGUGUCCUCUGUAGUGGACAUUGUGUUUUUGCUUCUAUCUUUUCACUCAUUUGAGUUACUCUGUUAAUUCCUGGUGUACAAAGCAUACAUCACUUUCCAGUGAUGCCACAUGUGUCUGGGUGGGAGGUUACCAAAUUUUUCUUUUCUGUCAGUACAAAAUGUCUUCCAUAGGAACAAGUACAUUUUAUUGAAAGAAAAACGGUAAGUCAAAUAUUGAUUAGUUACUGAUGUUUAUCUAUAAUGUUUUAUAUUGUAUUGUUUAUUAACAUGUCAGGAAUGAUGUAGUGAGGUUUGAGAGUAGUUUUCUUAUUACUGUGUUGAAAUAAUAGCCAGUUUAUGAAUGUCCUCUAUAGUGGACACCAGGAUAAUCUUGAUGUCUCUCAUUUUCACAAUGUUUUUCCACAUUGCUGUAGUAGACAGGACAAAAGCAGAUGAGAUUUUGUACAGAAUAAUAGAGGCAGAUUUAGAUUUAUCAGAUGAGGAAAAUGCUGAAGAUGAGUUUGGACCUGCUGAUGAAGAGGUAGAGAGCGCUGAAGAAGAGACAGGCUCAUCAGACGAGCUAACAGGCAAAGAUUCAGUCCUGUGCUACCUAUGCCCUCUGAUUAUCAAGAUGAUCCUACAAUCCAUGCAAAUUGGAGUCCAACUGAGUACCUUUCCCAGUACAUUGAUGGCAACAUCUUUAAAAACAUGGCGAUAUUCACAAAUCAAAGGGAACUGCAAGUUAGGAGUGUCUCUGAAUACCACACCACAGGAAAUUAAGGUGUUCUUUGGAAUAUCAGUUCACUUGGCCUGCCUUGGUUACCCAAGAAUCAAGAUGUUUUGCUCCCAAAAACAAAAGUGCCAAUAAUUAACAACAGUUAUUUUUAACAACACUAAAAAUAGUCGGAGACCUGGAUGUGACAGAAGAAACAAAGGAAACAGAUAUUCUUUGGAAAGUAAGACCUCUUUGACAGAGUGAGGCAGGGAUGCCUUAGCCUUCCAAAACCAAGAAAGCUCUGCAUCGAUGAGCAAAUCAUUCCUUUUACAGGCCGUUGUCCAAUCAGGCAGUUUGUUCCAGGCAAGCCGUACCCUACUGGCUUGAAGGUAUUUUUCCUUGCUUCUCCAGAUGGUUUGAUGCUAGACUUUGAAGUGUACCAGGGGAA